CUUGCUUCUCUUGAGAGCGGCGGACGGGUGAGUAAUGCCUAGGAAUCUGCCUGGUAGUGGGGGAUAACGUCCGGAAACGGACGCUAAUACCGCAUACGUCCUACGGGAGAAAGCAGGGGACCUUCGGGCCUUGCGCUAUCAGAUGAGCCUAGGUCGGAUUAGCUAGUUGGUGGGGUAAUGGCUCACCAAGGCGACGAUCCGUAACUGGUCUGAGAGGAUGAUCAGUCACACUGGAACUGAGACACGGUCCAGACUCCUACGGGAGGCAGCAGUGGGGAAUAUUGGACAAUGGGCGAAAGCCUGAUCCAGCCAUGCCGCGUGUGUGAAGAAGGUCUUCGGAUUGUAAAGCACUUUAAGUUGGGAGGAAGGGCAGUAAAUUAAUACUUUGCUGUUUUGACGUUACCGACAGAAUAAGCACCGGCUAACUCUGUGCCAGCAGCCGCGGUAAUACAGAGGGUGCAAGCGUUAAUCGGAAUUACUGGGCGUAAAGCGCGCGUAGGUGGUUCGUUAAGUUGGAUGUGAAAUCCCCGGGCUCAACCUGGGAACUGCAUUCAAAACUAACGAGCUAGAGUAUGGUAGA
rnacentral:rRNA from 1 species